rnacentral:rRNA from 1 species
AGAACGAACGCUGGCGGCAGGCUUAACACAUGCAAGUCGAACGCGUGUAGCAAUACACGAGUGGCGCACGGGUGAGUAACGCGUGGAUAUCUGCCUUUUGGUUCGGGAUAACCCCGGGAAACUGGGGCUAAUACCGGAUGGUUCCUACGGGAUAAAGAUUUAUCGCCAAAAGAUGAGUCCGCGUCCGAUUAGCUAGUUGGUGGGGUAAUGGCCUACCAAGGCGACGAUCGGUAGCUGGUCUGAGAGGACGAUCAGCCACACUGGGACUGAGACACGGCCCAGACUCCUACGGGAGGCAGCAGUGGGGAAUAUUGGACAAUGGGGGCAACCCUGAUCCAGCCAUGCCGCGUGAGUGAUGAAGGCCUUCGGGUUGUAAAGCUCUUUUGGCGGGGACGAUGAUGACGGUACCGCAGAAUAAGCCCCGGCUAACUUCGCGCCAGCAGCCG